UACGAAGGGGGCUAGCGUUGCUCGGAAUCACUGGGCGUAAAGGGUGCGUAGGCGGGUCUUUAAGUCAGGGGUGAAAUCCUGGAGCUCAACUCCAGAACUGCCUUUGAUACUGAAGGUCUUGAGUAUGGGAGAGGUGAGUGGAACUGCGAGUGUAGAGGUGAAAUUCGUAGAUAUUCGCAAGAACGCCAGUGGCGAAGGCGGCUCACUGGCCCAUUACUGACGCUGAGGCACGAAAGCGUGGGGAGCAAACAGG
rnacentral:rRNA from 1 species